rnacentral:misc_RNA from 1 species
AGUUCGUUACUCGCCGUUGUAAGCAUACCUCUAAAAGAAUAAGUGUACCACCAUGACUAACAAAUUAGCCCAUAUACAUCAGGUCAAAGUGCAGCCCAUAAGAAGGAGAUGAUGGGUUACAACCCUAAAAAAGACUAUCAACUAAGAAAUAAAAAAUCUUACGAAAGUGGACUUGGCUGUAAUUAAUUUACAAGUUAAAAAAAUGAAUAUAAAUCUAAGACAUGUACACAUCGCCCGUCACUCUACCCCAAAGGGUAGAUAAGUCGUAACAAAGUAGGUGUAAUGGAAAUUGCGCCUGUCGAAAUAUAGCAUAUAUAGUGCUUUUUACUUACACUAAAAAUAAAGUUAAACAACUUAUUUCGCGCACCACACAUAAAUCUUUCUAAUAAUAGCAAUAAUACAAACAAUUAAACAAUAUUACAGAAAAAUAAAGUACAGAAAUGGAAAAUACAAUAAAUAAAAGUAAUAUUUAACACAUGUACCUUGUGCAUUAUGGUUUUACAAGAAAACAAUCAAAGACAAAAAUUCCGAAUUCUAAUUGAGAUGUUAAACUGCUGUUAAGAACUCACUAAUAACUGUAGAAAAAGUUUUAAAAGACAGUAUAACAGAGGCUACAUACCAUCCGCAUAAGAAUAUAGCUGGUUUUCAACAAACAUUAUACAUUAAAACAUAUAAUUAUAUUAUAGUGUAACAUUAUUGAGGACAAGCCCAAUAAUAAAAGCAAUACAUAUAACAUUCUAUUACACUAAAUAGGCCUAAAACCAGCCAACCACAAUACUUUAUCGUAAUAAAUAAUGAUAUAAUAUAUAGUAAUAUUAUGCCAAAUUAAGUUGAAAUAAUGGAUUAAUAAAUCUCUCCCACCUCUACUAUGUAAAAAUAAGUAUUAUAAAAUAAAAAAUAUAUUAACCUAACAAUAAACAUAAAAUAAAAUAAAAUAAUAAUUACUAAUUAAGGAACUCGGCAAAUCAUAAUUUCGACUGUUUAAC